GAUGAACGCUGGCGGCGUGCCUAAUACAUGCAAGUCGAGCGAACGGACGAGAAGCUUGCUUCUCUGAUGUUAGCGGCGGACGGGUGAGUAACACGUGGAUAACCUACCUAUAAGACUGGGACAACUUCGGGAAACCGGAGCUAAUACCGGAUAAUAUUUUGAACCGCAUGGUUCAAAAGUGAAAGACGGUCUUGCUGUCACUUAUAGAUGGAUCCGCGCUGCAUUAGCUAGUUGGUAAGGUAACGGCUUACCAAGGCAACGAUGCAUAGCCGACCUGAGAGGGUGAUCGGCCACACUGGAACUGAGACACGGUCCAGACUCCUACGGGAGGCAGCAGUAGGGAAUCUUCCGCAAUGGGCGAAAGCCUGAAGGAGAAACGCCGCGUGAGUGAUGAAGGUCUUCGGAUCGUAAAACUCUGUUAUUAGGGAAGAACAUAUGUGUAAGUAACUGUGCACAUCUUGACGGUACCUAAUCAGAAAGCCACGGCUAACUACGUG
rnacentral:rRNA from 1 species